GACCUCGUAGCUCAGCUGGUAGAGCGUGCGCGUACAGAGCGUAGGCGGUGUCCAUGCGUGGGUUCGAAUUCCACCGAGACUA
rfam:Echinostoma caproni strain Egypt genome assembly, scaffold: ECPE_scaffold0000865